AUUUAUAUAGUAUAAUUAUUAUUUUUGACUUCCAAUUAAAAGAUCUAAAUAAAUUAGUAUAAAUA
rnacentral:tRNA from 1 species